GAUUUCAGUGCAGAAUUCUGCUGGAGCAGCACUAUUAACUGAUGUGUUUUGAAAAAAAAUGUUUUUCCCAUGACAGUAUCCCUUUAAUUUUAAAUUGGCAACAGUAAUGGAUCGUCAACUUACUUGUUGGAGACGGUGGUUUGAAAAUAGGGUUUGUUGCAGAGCCUGUAAAUCCAGGUAUUGAAUUAUCCUUGUCUUUUUGUCCAUGCGCCGCUCUACAGCUGAAAACCUCGGUGCAAGGUUCCACCACUACCAUGCGAAGCACAAUAAUUUUAUUUCCCAGUAGAACUGAGAGCACUUUCUAUUCCUAUUUUAAUUGACUCGCUGAUGAGUAUGAGAUGCUUACGGCUGCAGUUUUUUUAGUCUCUCCCCUCCCACAAAAAAUAUAAGCCCUAAAUUAGUUUUUUUCUAGGCUGUAACUUUGUUUAAUCCCUUGGCAACAUUGCUAACUUCUCAACCGCUAAAGUUUCUAAGCCAUUUAUAAGGUACAGAUGAGAAGGAUAACGGUUUCCCUAUCUAAUAAUUUGGUUCAUGUGUGUUGGUAUGAUAUUUAUAAUAUUUUAUUACUAUAGUAGCUUUUAGGCUCCAGUGAGACCACAUAGAGCCACCAUGUAAUUUCCCGUCAGUAUUUGUCGAUAGGGGUAUUGACCUAUUUCAUGAAGGGUUUUCUGGGUAAUAAGAGGCCUCCCAGUGUUUGGCUAAGGAUACUCCUAUAUACUCCAAGCUCUUCUUCAGUCUUUCAGUGUAAUGAACAGGGAAGUAAUUCAAUCAUUUACAGUAUUGAUCUUGUUUGCCGAGCCAAUUAAUGGGUCCUACAUACGGUUCACGUUGAUUAUAUAGAUAAUUUCAUUAGUGCGGAUGACAAAACAGGUCAACUGGCCACCUUGUGGGUUGUGUAGCCAGACAUCUAUUCUUCUUGAGUUUGAUCAAUCACAAUAUGGUCGCAUUGAGUUUGAUCAAUCACAAUAUGGUCGCAUUGAGUUUGAUCAAUCACAAUAUGGUCACAUUGAGUUUGAUCAAUCACAAUAUGGUCGCAUUGAGUUUGGUCAAUCACAAUAUGGUCGCAUUGAGUUUGAUCAAUCACAAUAUGGUCGCAUUGAGUUUGAUCAAUCACAAUAUGGUCGCAUUGGGUGGAAAGAGUGUAAGGUUUUUGGACAACUGCAUUUUACAUCCUGAUUAAUGAAAUCCAGUUGGGUUACGUUUUGACUUAUCCAGUUAUCGGGCGCCAAAUCGGUUGUGCCAUAGACUCCAUGUAAUGUGUGUCAAGUAUUGCAAGUCUUACUGAAACUGCUGUACACAGGGGGACUAUAGUAGUGACUUAGUUAUGAAUGGGUAGUAGAAGUAUUUCUACCUGUGGCCAAAGCCGAUAACUUGUUAGUGAUCAGUAUUUUACUGCCCCCUGUUCAUGAAGGAUGAAAGUCCUUACAGCAGAGACAUCAACCUUGACUCCCCUCAACAACCAGCAUUGUACAAAAUACAAAAUCUGUAGGUACCAGUAGAUAGGUGGGUCUGGACUGGUCGAUCUACCCUAGUAUGUUUACCAUCUAGCCCUACUUAAUAGCCAUAGGGCUACCCAUUAGUAUUAAUGCCUUGGCAUCUGAAAGUAUUCUUUGGUUGCAAAACAAAUAUUCAUUAAUGUUUACAAUUUACGGUUAGUGGGUGGUGGGCACUGAUAUCUCAUUUAGUUCUGAAGAACACAGCAUUGCUCGGUAAGGGCAUGGUGGGCACCAUCUUGAACAGAAGAGUAGUAAGACGUGUUGAGCUGGUGUUUCUGCCCUGUACAUUGGCUCCUACCUAAUAUCCGAGCCUCUCUAACGAGGCUUACCUCCAUGUUGAACAUUGAAGGGCCAAGAGCUUCAAGCUAGUUAAGUUGCAUUUCAAUAUUACUUACUAUUGGCCUUCAAAUUUGAAAUAUGUUACUGGUCUGAAACGUUUACUGGAUAAGUGUAUUCUCAUUCUGGGAAGCAUUCCCAGUUUUGAAGAAGUGUUAAAGGAGUUUGGAAAAUUCCUUCUAUAGGGUAGUAAGUAUGUUUGUAGAGUUGGGUGUGUCCUAAAGAAUUUGUGGUGUUCUUCAGCUCCACCAAGUCUUCUUGGCUGGAGUAAACUGUGCACCGCAUUAUAGUAUUCAAGCUGUUUUUAAAUUACCAAACUUAUUGUGAUGAGUCCAUCUCUGUUAUUCUAUUACCUAAAGUAAUGCCCAAAUGUUUUUACGCCUAUCCUAUCCAGUGCUACAUUUAUGGCUAAAGAAAGUUAUGAUUUUGGCCCAGUUGCUUUUGAAGAUAGGGUUAUAUUUUGUGUUUUUAUUAUUUCUUUUUCACACUUCUAUCAGAAACUGCAUUUUUGCACUUAUACGCAAGUUGUUCACCAUUACAUUCUGUUCUUCUUGUUUGUAGACCCCAGUAAGGAGACACUGAAGUCGGUGGCUAAACUCCAUUGAGCGAUUAUUCCUCCUCUGGCAUCCCAAAUCCUUUUAGACACUCUACAUUCAGGUUGAUGCCAUGGGAAGCUCAGUCAUACAACAAAUCAUUCUUGACACAAAUGUUUUUAAGGGCUAUCACAAUUUCACACCAAUUAUGUUAGGGCUUAGAAACAUAUUUUGAGCAAUAAGCUCAGAAGACCUUUGCUUGAAUGUUCUUUACAUGUCUUCUUAUAUUGUCUGCCAGUGUUGGUGUAACAUUCCUCAGUGGUGUGCAGUGUUCUUUGUGAGUCUAGGAAACAUUGGUAGUUUGCUGUAGGUUUUACGCUCCAUUUUGGCCUAAUGGCUAUGUCUGAUCUUUGGGUGUGUUGAGGUUCUCCUGUUGAAGUUCUCCUACUUUUGCAGCAUAGUUCUAUUCAUUGUGAUAAUAGUUUGGGAGUGUGUCCUCUAGUUUAACUUGCGGAGUGUUGCUGUAGUUUGCAAUGAAAUUCCACUCUGUAUUUGUAGGAAGGGGCUGCUGCCCUUAAUCAGAUCUUUUACAAUGUUUAGCUUUUCUGUACAGUUUCGAAUUUUCGCCUUUUUUUUUUUAGCCUACUUUUGGGUUGUUGCUAUUUCUGCCCCAGGUGAACAGGCGGUGGUUGGAAGAUGAAGUUACCAUACAUUAGGGAUUAAGGAUUCUGAUGGUUGUUAGAGCUCAAUGCUGUUGCUGAGUUCUAACACCCCUAACAACAGAAACUGACAAGCGUAAAAGCUCUUGGCUGGGGAGACCUUUCCAAACAGACAUGCUCACGUGGCUUUAGAUGUUUGACUUGGGGAGGUGGUAGCUUUUAUCAGAAGCUUUGGGAAUCCAACUACUUUACACUCCUUUCCAGAGCCGAGUGAAUCCGGGAGCAGGUCAGGUUCCAAUGCUUAGGGGUUUGGGGUGUACAUGUGCCUCAAGAGAAUCUCACACUCAAAAUAUCUACUCAACUAUUUUUGGAAUGCUUAUAGUUUUGUGACUGUUACAACUUUACUUUUUUUAUCUUCUGAAAUUCCCCUUCAGCCUGUGGCACUCCAGCAGCAAACGGGGCAACUAUUGCUUGACGUCUUCUCUCGUACGUCUAUGGAUGUGUUGUUGAGAGGUUAUUGGGAAUGAAAGAUGGAAUAUGUGGCUUUGUCGCUUGCAGUACCUCUUGUAACCUGUGCUGCUGGGAUUCUUUUCCAUGGAACAUUACCAAAGUCUGGGUAGAUGCCUUAGAACCGGUUGCUUCUUGCUUCCCUUGUGUUUCCCCUUUAACUCCUAUUGGCCUUCAGGCCAGACCUCAUUUCCACUGGUUUGGGCUUUUCAAGGGGUUCCUCCCUGCUGUUGGCCUAGGAUGUGUGAGGCAUAGCCUAUGCACCCCCUAUUUAUUGGAACCCCCUUUAAUCAGCUGAAAGCACACUCCCAUUAUCUUCAUUAUUCCUUGGCAAACAAGUACUUAAAUGUCAGAAUGUCUUCUCCAACACCCCUGUACCCCUCGUCGCCUAGUCUCUUAAAGCCUUUAUCUCUGUUUGUUUGUGGGACCGUAUAAUAUUGGCUUCACAGACAUCUAUUUGUACACUAAAAAAAUAAUAAUUCUGCAGCAGAAGAAUAUUUUUUAAGAAAAACUCGGAUGUUUUUGUAAGCUAUAUUUUUGUAUAUUUAAUUGCGAUUAAGACGUGUUUUUUUUGCUAACCGCGAUCUACAUAAACGUUUUGCAUGUCGUUGACUUGAAAUGUAAAUAAAGCUCCAUUUUGAGAA